rnacentral:rRNA from 1 species
GGAGGAAUAUUGGGCAAUGCCCGGAAGGGUGACCCAGCAACGCCGCGUGAAGGAUGAAGGUCGUAAGAUUGUAAACUUCUUUUGAUGGGGACGAAAAGCGGAGUAACACUCUGCAUUGACUGUACCCAUAGAAAAAGCCCCGGCUAACUACGUGCCAGCAGCCGCGGUAAUACGUAGGGGGCAAGCGUUGUCCGGAUUUACUGGGUGUAAAGGGCGCGUAGGCGGAUCUAUAAGUCGGUGGUGAAAUCCUGCAGCUUAACUGCAGAACUGCCGUCGAUACUGUGGAUCUUGAGUUCGGAAGAGAGUAGCGGAAUUCCAGGUGUAGUAGUGAAAUACGUAGAUAUCUGGAAGAACACCAGCGGCGAAGGCGGCUACUUGGUCCGUAUCUGACGCUGAGGCG